rnacentral:lncRNA from 1 species
AAACACUCUAUAAUUUCAUGAGAAGAAAUAUAGCAAACAUGAGUAGAAAACUUACAAAUAUUUUUCUUCUCUCAAGGACACAAGUGCAACCCAUGCCCAGAAAAAUGGAGGUGGCAUGGGGACCAAUGCUACCAAUUCUAUAAAGAGAGUAAAAGUUGGCAGGGCUGUGAAUAUUUCUGCACUGGUGAGAAUGCCACCAUGCUGAAGAUAAACACACAAGAAGUGCUGGUAAGGCCCUGGAUCUUUUCAAUGUUUGAAGAAUUCUUAAGAAGAGGCCUUGAAAGAGCUGGCCAAGAAAAUUCAGAGGAGUGAAUGAUAUUGACUCACAAAUGUUCCCACUUAUUCUGAUCAAGGACUCUGUCUUAUUCCUAUUGCUUUGCAUGAUUCCCUCAACUACAUAAAAAGGAGCUCCAUUCUUCAUAAAUGCUUACUCCACAGAAACCACCCCUCAGCCAGGGAAUAGAUGGAGAAUGCCUUAAUUUUUUUUAACCUCUUUUAGUUUGGGUAAGAAGAGAAGAGUGUUUACACAAUAUCAGAAAGAUGAAAAUACCACUGACUGUACUUGAUUUAUGAGUGGCAAAUAUUUAAUUAAAUCAUUACUAUGAUCCACAAAUGUAUAUCUUGCUUUCCAGAACAUUGGUCAACACAAAUAUGAAAAUCACCCUACAAAUUGACACAUUUUGAAUAAGUGCACUUUUAAAAUGAUGUAAUUAUUCCCCUCCCCCACUUCUUUCCACAUUCAUUAUUGCUUUUGGAUUGAAUUCGUUCAUCAAUGUGAUCAUGUGAUAACUUGUUUAUCUUUCUCUAUAAUUGAGCAGUGGUCUUGAUGCAGAGCAGAUUGUCAACAUAUGGCUUUUUAAUUAAAUGUCCAGCUUUAUAUACAAAGUUUUAACAUCCUUCCAGUCACAUAUUAAUUUCUGUCCACUUCCUGAAAUCUGUAUGAAUGAACCUUUGUAAUACCUUUAUUUAAUAUCUUUUACCCUCUAUGGCUCCAUUUAUGCAUAGAGGAAGGCAAUUUCUUUCUUUCUGUGUUUUUUUUUUUGGGGGGGGUGGGUGGUAACUAGGAAUUGAAUGUACCCAGAGGCACUUAACCCCUAAGCCACACCCCCAGCCCUUUUUAUUUUUUUGAGACAGGGUAUCCCUAAGUUGCCUAGGGCCUCACUAAAUUGCUGAGACUUUGAACUUGUGAUCCUCCUGCCUCAGCCUCCUGAACCACUCGCUGGGAUUAUAGGUGUGUGCCUCUGCAUCCGGCCCAAUUUCUUUUACUAACAUAAUAUGUCCUGGCAAAAACAUUUUCUUAUUAAAUUUGUUUGCUUUACCUCCAGCCCAUACUGAAGACUCAGUUAUAUAAUUAAACUGUACUAUAUGGAAUGUUAGGAAAUUUUGCUAUGAAAGUUACAAAGUUAUUUUCUUUUAUGCACUUUAUAAAUUUGUAUAUGUUUAAAUCGCUUACACAUGAUUUAUUUUCAGAAGUUUUAAUUUAAAGUGAUACCAUUUAAUUUGGAGAAAAUAUGUUCAAAUACAGUUCUUUUCACCUGACUACUGUGUGACCAUCACUUUGCAAUAGUUUCCCUGAUAUUUCCUAUGAUCUCUUGUUGAAUCAGCAUGUACCACUAAUUAUCUGAGGCAUUGAGAGUAGAACAAUUGCUAAAACUAAGUAUUUAUCCCUAAAGAGUUUAUAAUAUGUUGGAAAGGAAAGACAUAAAUGGAUGAUCAUAAUAAUUAUACUAUAUAUAAUAAUAAUAAUUAUAUAUAAUUCCCAUGUUAAAUAUAUAUGAAUAUAGAGUGAGAGUAGAUGAAAGAAAGUAAAUAACUUUUUGAAAUUUCAAUAUACAUAUUAGAAAUAUGGACAUACACAUGACUCUGUGUGUGUAUGUAAAAUUUAAAAUUUCUUUGUCCCCUAUAGUUUGAAACAUAGGUCAUCCUUCCAAGUCCAUUUUUCACUUCUUUGUGCAUUGAAGUAUAUUCACAUUUAUUUUCUCAUACCCAGUUAUUUUUUUCCCAGAUGUUUAUAAAGGUUUCUUUUCCAUUCCUGAACUUUUCCUUUUAAAAUUUUCCAUUUCCCAUAGUCAUUCCAUAUCUCUUUGUAAAUCUUCUUCCCACUAUGUUAUAUCACUCUUGAUGUUUCAUUUUGUGUCUUAAAAACAAUGGAUUAUGUAUAAAUUUUGACUGAUAAAAUGCUUGGUUUCAAAAUAUCAAUAUAUAAAAUUGCAAACUUCAACUAAAGCAAAACAAGUUCUUUAACCUGGAUGAAUUUCUAAUGGAUCUCAUGACAGAUACUUUUAUCUCCUAAUCACACCCUCAUCUAUGUGAGGUAGGAAUUCUUUGUUGAUCUCCCAUGAACAGUGUUGGCUGCCCCCACACUUAUUUGAAAAUAAAUUACAACUUCUUUAAAGCUAAAGAUUUUCUUGUAUGUCUUUCACAGGAGUUUGCCAUGCCUCAAAGCUACUCUGAGUUUUUCUACUCUUAUUGGAUAGGGCUCUCCCGCAACAGCAGUGGCAAAGCCUGGCUGUGGAUGGAUGGAGCACCUUACUCCUUUGAACUGUAAGAUUUCAGAACAUAUUACAGGGAAGGCAUCUAACAGAAAGAGUGAUGGAGUUAGCAGUUUGGUUCAACAAACAUCAAUCAAACAUUUGUUUUCUACUGGAUGCUGUGUUCACAAGAUGUCCAAAGAUGUGUAGAAUAUAAUUGCUUGCUUUUGAAUGGCUUAUAAAACAGGGAGACACAUCUAUAGUGCUAGUAAAAUAUCAGGGGACAGUUCCUGGGCUGUUUUCAACACUGGGUAUCUAGGAGUAACUGUGAAUUAGAUAAUUAGAAUGUGAGAGAAAGAAAUAGAAAAUCUUUUAUGUGUGUGUAUGCUGAAGUCCAGGAGUCCAGGUUGUAAAAGUGGGUGUGUAAGGCCACAACUUGUCAUACCUAGAAAAAAGGACAAAACCUAAGAUUUCUUUUCUUUUUCCUCUCUCUCGCUCUCUCUCUCUCUCUCUCUCUCUCUCUCUCUCUCUCUCGUCUUAGUAUAGUGAAAUAGGGAGCACAUCUUUAAAAAAAUAUGCUCACUUAGAGUAGACUUGCUGACAAUAUAAACAGACCAUUAUAAACACCAGCUUUAUUUAUAAUGAGAAACAUUUAGAAAGAAGAAUGCAUGAAAGUAUUUGAAUAGGAAAAUGCAACCCUUAUACCAAAAUAUAUUACACUUAAAGCUAUAUCUGCUUUUCUUCCCUAAAGCUUCUCUAAAGCAUUUAUUCUCUCAGGAGACAGAAUUGAUUAAUAUGAUCAUUUGUAUUUUACAGUUAAGCAAAUGUAUUAAAGAGACAGUAAAUAAGUUUUUAAGUAGCAAUAGAAUCAUAUGAUAAAUUCAAAUUAGAAACAGUUUUUGUUGUUCUGGGUUUCCUGCUGCAUUGAAGAACAAUAAUCAAAUUGAUGGUCUGAAAAUAAAGAAAUAGGUGACCCCAUCUUCUCAGUGAACUCAUUCUGGGUGUAUAUUCUAUAAUUUUAUCACCAGAGGAAGACUUUUAGGGACUUUAUGGAUACUUAAUAUCUUACUUGAAAAAUAAACUGAUUAACUGUUUCUUUCUUUUUUUAAGGUUUGAGAUCAUAAUAGAUGUUAGCAGCCUAAGAAGUAGGGACUGUGUGACCAUCCUCAAUGGAAAGGCUUUCUCAAAGGACUGUAGAGAGCUGAGACGAUGUGCAUGUCAGAGGAUGGCAGCAAGAGUGGAGCCCGAAAAUCUUCACUAGCCCACUUGAACCAGCAGAUGAAGGGGACUGACCGUUCUGCUUCAGCUACCAACAAAAGAACUGAGCCAAGGGAGGCCAAUGCAAGGCAUAUUUGAGACACUGGGAAAUGGAAAAUAAUCAGGAAAGGCAAAAUCUUCAACUGGUACUAUCAGGAUUCCCAUUUUUCUUGUUUGGGAUCACUAGCAUUUCUGAAUUUGGGGGUCAUGCACAUAUUUACCAGUCACAAGAAGUCUUCAUCUGUAAACCACCAACCAGUCCCAGAAACCCUUACAGUUUUUAUCCACUUUCUUGACUUAGAAAUAACCUUCUGGUUUUCUUCCUUCUCAACAUCCAACAUCAUCUCCCUAUUUCUAUGUCUUCCUCAUAUGUACAGAAGGGACACACUCACUAAAAGAGAGGAAUUAAAUGGAAGUCACAUCCUUUGCUCCAGAGGCAGGUGGUCCAGGGGAAAUUAACAGACCUUCCCAUUCUGUGCUUCUAAGUGCAUGACUAAUUCUUUUUGUUCCUCUUCAGUUUACACUUUUCCUUUCCCAGUCUGUCAAUCAAGACUGCAUCUGAAACAGCUGAAACAACUCCUUUUAUGAGAAUCUUAACUUCUUAUAAACAUACCUCUGCAUACCCAUUAAUACUCCAAUAGUUGUUUCUUUUUUCCUAAGAAUUUCUCAAAUCCCCUUUACAUAGAAUCACUGCCCUUGAUACCCGCUUCAGAGAGAUUGAAGAUCAGUAAGAAAAAGAAAAAGAAAAAGAAAAAGAAAACAACCUCUCUUAUGUGCACCAGAAAUAAUUUGGUAUCAGUUCUUAUUUUCUCCCAUUUGAUCCAUUUUUAUACCAUUCAGGUACUGAAGAGUUAAUAAUAAUAAAUAUAAAUAAUGUAAAGUGUGUGUGAUUUUAGAAUGGAUUUGUGAUUUGGGGAAAAAUUAAGCAUGAAAAUUCUUUUCAGAGUAUGAUAAUAAUCAUUGUUUUGAUUGUGCCUUACUGAGAGUUUAUGAGGACUCUGCGAAUUGCUUAUGUGAUUAUUUAUGGAAAAAUCCAAGCCUUUGAAAUACAUAUUAUCUUCAAGGAGAAGGUUUUAAUAUUUUCCUAAAAUGAGAUAUUGAAGCAAAAUUAUGACAUCAACACGACUGGUGAGUAAACUGCUUUGCAAUAGACCACAUGAUUUCCAGUCAGGUCAUGGAAAGUGAAAGAGACUGACAAACUACAGAGCUGAAUUUUAGACUGGAUAAGGUCUUUCUCA